rnacentral:lncRNA from 1 species
GUCCAGGUGAUCUCCACGUCUGGGUGCUCUACUUGGCCCAGUGAUCUCCACGUCCAGGCCUCCUCUUUGCCCUGGCGAUCUCCACGCCCAGGCACUACUUCUCUCCAGGCGAUUCCCACGUUUGGAUGCUCCACUUGACCUGGCAAUCUCCACGUCCGGGCGUUCUCUCUAUCAGGCAAUAUCUCUACCGGCAGUCCUCGCCAGAAUUUCUAUCUCGCUGGAAUCUCUAUCUUCUCUGAUGGACCGGUAUCCGCCUGUGAGCUAGCUAUUAGCCCGCUUCCAGCCAGAUACUAGUUUUGUUUAC